AAGUGUCGAGUGUUAAAGUGAUAGUAGGAACCAAGAUUGGGAAGUCGUUCUUAUAUUUUGCCGUUUUUUUCCCCGUUACUAUGUAGGCAAAUGGUUACUGUACAGGAACACUGAAAAAGGUACAUUUUCCACUUGAUGUAUUAUUCCCUCUGAUUCCUGUUCUCUCGUUAGACAUUUCGAGGAUGACCAGGGGGAAUAUGACGACGUAGGCCUUGAUGUGAAACCACCUCCCCCGCCCCUAAAUCACCCAGGGAGCUGGGACAAGAGUGGUAUGACUGAAAAUAUUUGCUAUUUAACCAUGAACACAUGCAAGAGAUUCACUGGCUAUUGUGAAUUUAGUGCUGAAUCAGGAUGACUUGAGUUGACAUGAAUGUAUGAUUUACGUGAAAGCUUGUAUUAUGUACACAUACUGUAUCUCAAUCCAUCAUUCCAUAAUGCAUGUAUUUGACAUGUUUAUCACUUGUUCAUGCAUGCCAUCAAUUGACCUUUUCUGCUAUUUCACCCACAGACUCCUGGAAUGACAAUAGUUCUUCACGAGUAGAUGAGGUAAGAACAUUCUGUGGGAGCCUUCUGUGUUUACCAUCAGUGAGCAUUAAUGCAGAACACUGCUUCUGAUUUACUUCUGAAAUACUGUUCCUGAAAAACAUGCUUUUCAUGACAUUUACCUUGAAUCUAUCUUUUUAUUCCUGGCUACAGGGGAGCGAUGGAAGUGAUGUCUAUAAGUAAGUGUAGUAUAGCAAUACAACUACAUAUUGUAUGUUGAGUUCAAAUAUAUUGGGUUUAUGCUUGUCUUACAAGUAGACAUCGCAAUGCCUGUCAUAGCACACUUGUAACAACCCAUAUCACAAGGCUAAUGGAAAACAUUUGAAUAGUCCCAUAUCUGUUAUAAUAUGUUUAUAUGGGCGUAAGAGCUGGCCACUGCAAAUAGUAUUACUGACCACUCAUGUCUCUUGUCUUUUGGAAUUUCAGAGGCAAUGAACAGGAGGUGAAAAACACAAGUUCUGAUAAGAAGAAACAGAAAGAGUUGAGGUGGCAGCAAGAGCAGGAGAAGAGAAAUCAAAAGAAAAGACUGGAAAGGGACAACAAAUACAGAAAGAAAUUUAAGCUGGGUACUGGGGACAUAGAUGUCCUUCACAUGGGCAGGGUUCGACACGACUGGCAGGGGGGCAAGCAUGAUCUAAGUGUUCGUCAGGGAAACAGAGUGGAGAUCAUACGGGUUAAGAACAACCCCGAUGGCAGGUGGCUAGCCCGCACACAGACUGGCACCUGUGAGUAA
rnacentral:lncRNA from 1 species